UGGGGAAUAUUGCACAAUGGGCGCAAGCCUGAUGCAGCCAUGCCGCGUGUAUGAAGAAGGCCUUCGGGUUGUAAAGCACUUUCAGCGGGGAGGAAGGCGUUAAGGUUAAUAACCUUGGCGAUUGACGUUACCCGCAGAAGAAGCACCGGCUAACUCCGUGCCAGCAGCCGCGGUAAUACGGAGGGUGCAAGCGUUAAUCGGAAUUACUGGGCGUAAAGCGCACGCAGGCGGUCUGUCAAGUCGGAUGUGAAAUCCCCGGGCUUAACCUGGGAACUGCAUUCGAAACUGGCAGGCUAGAGUCUUGUAGAGGGGGGUAGAAUUCCAGGUGUAGCGGUGAAAUGCGUAGAGAUCUGGAGGAAUACCGGUGGCGAAGGCGGCCCCCUGGACAAAGACUGACGCUCAGGUGCGAAAGCGUGGGGAGCAAACAGG
rnacentral:rRNA from 1 species